CAAAGUACAGGACUUAGGAGUGUCGAGGAAACAUUCUUUGAAAUCCAAUAAGCCAAACUUCUAUAUUUUGGGUUCAUUUCAGUCACCGCCGAGCCAUUGUUGGACCUUCAACAAUCCCUAAACCAAGCAGGCUAGGCUUCAUAAAUCUAUCUCAGUGUCUGCCCUAUCGCAUAACGCUUUCUCCUCGGUAACUCAUAGCGGCUUCCUCGCUUCCUCAUUCGCUGGGAGCGGCCACACGAUCUCCUGAAGUAGCCAUCAUCUCCGCAACAAGCGAGGGCAUCACAUUUACUUUGAACGAGGCUGUUAUCCAUAAUGAAUAAAAUAGGUGUCUGCUGUCUGUGCGCUUCAGUUCUGCUUUUUUUAACUUUCCGAAGUCCCACGGGCCAUCUCUCAAAUCGCCGUUUUCUACUUAACAGCCAAAACCAUUUAUCUACUUUUUAUCAUGCACACAUUGAAGCGCCGCCGUUGCCUGAUGACCCAGAGCCAAAUCGCGGUUUUCUAUUUAACAGCAACAAAAGCCAUUCAUCUGCUUUCAACGGUUCACACAUUGAGCCCCACUUGCCUGAUAGCUCAGAGGUAAAUUUGGCUGUUUAAAUUCAUACCAACAAACAUAUUGACCCAUAUAAACUUUUAAAUAAAUUAUGAAAUGUUUAUUAGAUAAUUGUAUAUUAUUUUAAUUUUAUACUGAUAUGUAUUAAAUAAUUGCAUGUGGCUAAAAUAAAUUUAGUCAUUAUUAUGUCUUUCUAUAGAUAUAAGUUGGUUUAGAAUAUUAAAGAAUAAUUAAUGAAUUUUUUUCAGUUA